rnacentral:lncRNA from 1 species
CAACCCGCUUGGGUCCACUUCCACACUGUGGAAGCUUUGUUCUUUUGCUCUUCGCAAUAAAUUUUGCUGCUGCUCAUUCUUUGGCUCCACACUGCCUUUAUGAGCUGUAACACGUACUGCAAAAGUCUGCAGCUUCACUCCUGAGGCCAGCGAGACCACGAACCCACCAGAAGGAAGAAACUCCGAACACAUCCAAACAUCAGAAGGAACAAACUCCGGAUACGCAGCCUUUCAGAACUGUAACAGUCACCAGGAGGGUCCGCGGCUUCCUUCUUUAAGUCAGUGAAACCAAGAACCCACCAAUUCUGGACGCAAAAGAUGGUGCCAGAAGUGGGAUCUCAAGUAGAGCUUCCCAUGACCCCCAGAAGUGCUGAAUGAACACACAAGGUACCGGGUGCAGGACCACUUGUGUCCAAGGAUUUCCCAGAGUGGCUCAGGAUCUUGGCCCCCAGGGCUACAGUGCAGUGAGCUGGGUCACAAGGGCCACUCAGGGAAAGGAAAUCCAGAAGCCUGGCAUGCUGGCAAGAGGUAUAUUUUCACCAGGUAAAGAAAGCAUUUAUGAUUCACUAAGGACAGUUAACCCCUUCACAAUCUAGAAUCUGAAGAUUGGAUCUUCUGAAAACAUCAGAGAAAGACUCUCCUUGCCAUCCACACUGCAACAAAACUUUGGAACCUUGAACCUUGGAUACAUAAUCUCACAACUGAGAAGGAUCCCUCCACAUUCUUGGAACUGUACACCCAUUGGAACCCUUAAAGUAAAACUAACCAGGAAAGUUUCUCCCCAGAAGAUGGCAUCCUUGAUGUGAACAGCUUUUCCCAAGAUCACAGAUCAACACUUCUACUAUCAUGAGACUCUUACCUUUGAAUAUUUUCCUUGUUUAUGCCUCUGUGAACAAUAGAAAUGAAAAGGGGUCUAUUAUGUGCACUUACAGGGUAUACUUUUAUUUGUUAAGAACUUUGCAGCCAGUAUUAUACAUGAAUAACCUUAUACUUAGAUAGAUUAAAAAAUGAAGUCCCAAGGUAGGGGAGAAACUUUAAUGGUACAUACAUUGCCUCAUAAUCCGUCAAAACUCCUUUUAACCUACAUCAUGGGUUAAAGAGAACAUUGCCAGGAGGCCUUCACUCUUCCACAAGGACAUCAUUUGUUAGGUCUUUUUUCCAUGAUUUAGAAUAAAUAGGCAAUAAUUAGAAAUGUAUCCCUCAUAAUAGGCUUUAUAGCAGAUUCUACUGUGAAGGUUAAGGUUACACAACAGACUUUAAAUUCUCAUGUGAAAGUUACGUUAAAUAAUAGAAUUGGCUAAACAGAACAGUAACUUUGCAGCUGCCAACACUUGUGGCCUAUAGAGAAAUACAUCAAAUGUAGAUUAUAAAAAUUGAGUUGUAGGGGAUUAACGAAAAGACUACUCAGUCAAGCAAGUAGAUCUUCAUCUAGUUCAUUCUUUAAUCUACUUAAUUUUAAGUGGUUUGGUUUAUGGGAACCCUGGGUAAGGAGCAUACUCCAAACUCUUGGUAUUAUCCUCCCAAUAGUGAUAAUAAUAAUCUCCUUGGUGCACUGUAUUCUCUCAAAGGUUUUAAAUGUUUGCAUGCAGCCAUCUCUAGAAUGUCAAAUGGUCUCUCCAACAGGAAUGACAAAAGCUGAAAGAAAUGAGUGACCAUAAGGAUACUGUAACCUACAAAUGACGUGCUGAGACCAGAAACCCAAAAUGAUGGUAACAGAGAGUGACACUAAGGCCCUAAGUUUUGGUCACACUCUCACCUAAGUGAGAACCUGACCUGAAAGGGGGAAUUUUUUAAACAAAAUUAUGGAAGGCCAUUGUUUUGAACUAAGCUCUUGCACUAGGCCCCAACAGGCCAAACCAAACUAAAAUGGAGUUACUCAUGCUAAAUGUGACAUAAACAAACUAAGACUUGAAGAAAACACAUAGAUCAUAAAACAGACCAGGUUUUGUUUUUCUCCUGUAAACAGGAUGUUCCCGCAUAAGGAGGUACCCUCUACUCAAUCCCUGUGCCUACCUUUGUAAAACUCGCCGUUCUACUGUUUCCCAGUGGGUUUCAAGACCAAAUAAGUACAUUUACAAUGGUGAUAGUGACAUCAAUAGCUAAAGUUUUGGUCAUUCUCUCGAAAUUGAGAGAAUGACCAAAAGUGGGGAAUUGUUAAAGCAAACUAAAUACGGCCUGAGAAGGACUGCAUACUUCUAUAUUUGAGUCCUUGUGGAUGAACUGCAACCUAGCUUAAUAGGUACAAGAUUGAAAACCUAACUUAGGAGUGUGCACUUCUAACAAUAGCUAAGUCUUGCCCAAUGCCAAUGGCCAUAUGUCAACCAUUCAUACACUGCUGAGUGUUCAAACUGUGUUCAAAUAGGGCAAAUGUCAAGCUGUGACCUAUCCAGCUGUUCUGUAACUCACUUCCAAUUUCUGUACAUCAUUUCCGUGUUUUUUUUUUUUUUUUUUUUUUGUCUAUAAAUCUUCUUCCACCACAUGGCUACGCUGGAGUCUCUGUGAAUCUGCUGUGAUUUCCCGUCAUGAAUCGUUCAUUGCUCAAACUCCUUUAAAUUUAAUUGGACCAAAGUUUUUCUUUUAUCAUACCCCAGAGAAAUGAAAACUUAUGCCUACACAAAAAUUUGUACAACAAAUCAACAUAAUGAAAUAUUAUUUGUCAAUAAAAAGGAAUGAAGUACUGUUACAUGCUACAACAUAGAUGAACCUUGAAAACAUUACACUAAGUAAAAGAAGCCAAGCAUGAAUUAUACAUUGUAUGAUUCCAUUUAUAUGACAUGUCCAGAAUAGGCAAAUCCAGGGACAGAAAGUACAUCUAUCACUGGUUUCAUAGUGCUGGUAGGUUGAGGAGAAAUGGAAAGUGACUGCUAAAGGAUAUAGGGUUUUUCUUUGAAAUGAUGAAAGUAUUCUAAAAUUGAUUGUGGUGAUGGUUGCAUAACUCUGUGGAUACACUGAAAACCACUGUGUUGUCACUUUAAAAUGGGUAAAUUGUAUCGUAUGUGAAUUAUAUCUCAACAAAAUUGUUAUUUAAAAAGUGUUAGGAGCACCCACUCCCAGCUAUAAGCCCCUCAAGGACAAUGAUCAUACCUCGGACAUAGUAGAAACUCAGGAAAACAUUUAUUGAAAUGAAAAUCACUUAAGUAGAUCAGAAUGCAGGCAACAGCUAUUUAUUACAACUCCACAGAUUGCAACAUCUUCUAGACCUUGGACAUGCAGCUAGAAUUAAGAACUACCAAAAAAAUACAAAAAUGGUGAUAUUUGUUCUGUCUUCCAUUUCUCAGGUGUCAGCCAGCAUCAGAAUGUCCAUGACUCCUCUCAUUUAAUUAUACAUGGAGAAUGUUUCUCCAAACCUGCCUUUUUAGGUGAAACUAAUGACUAAAAUAAAUUUCUCCCACUUAGAUGUGUUACUCUAGAGAACUGAACUGAGAGGUAAGGAAAAGGUAUAGAAAUUAAAAUCGGGCCAGGCGUGGUGGCUCACGCCUGUAAUCCCAGCACUUUGGGAGGCCGAGGCGGGUGGAUCACGAGGUCAGGAGAUC